rnacentral:misc_RNA from 1 species
GAUGAAGAACGUAGCGAAAUGCGAUAAGUAAUGUGAAUUGCAGAAUUCCGUGAAUCAUCGAAUCUUUGAACGCACAUUGCGCCCCCUGGCAUUCCGGGGGGCAUGCCUGUCCGAGCGUCAUUUCUGCCCUCAAGCACGGCUUGUGUGUUGGGUGUGGUCCCCCCGGGGACCUGCCCGAAAGGCAGCGGCGACGUCCGUCUGGUCCUCGAGCGUAUGGGGCUCUGUCACUCGCUCGGGAAGGACCUGCGGGGGUUGGUCACCACCAUGUUUUACCACGGUUGACCUCGGAUCAGGUAGGAGUUACCCGCUGAACUUAAGCAUAUCAAAAGCGGAGGA